AGGCGUAGUCGAUGGGAAAAUGGUUAAUAUUCCAUUACUUCUGUGUAAUGCGAUGAGAGGACGGAGAAGGCUAAAUCAGCCUGGCGUUGGUUGUCCAGGUGAAAGGAUGUAGGCAUGUAUCUUAGGCAAAUCCGGGGUACUCUAUGCUGAGAUCUGAUAGCAAGCUGUACUUGUACAGCGAAGUGGUUGAUGCCAUGCUUCCAGGAAAAGUCUCUAAGCUUCAGUUACACAGGAAUCGUACCCGAAACCGACACAGGUGGUCAGGUCGAGUAGACCAAGGCGCUUGAGAGAACUCUGCUGAAGGAACUAGGCAAAAUGGUACCGUAACUUCGGGAGAAGGUACGCUGUUGUUGGUGAUGGAACUCGCUUCCUGAGCUGACGACAGCCGCAGAAACCAGGCCGCUGCAACUGUUUAUUAAAAACAUAGCACUCUGCAAACACGAAAGUGGACGUAUAGGG
rnacentral:rRNA from 1 species